UUAAUCAGUCAGCCUAAUCCUGAUAUUGGCUUGAUAAAUUAAGCAAAAUCAGGAACGGAGGAACCAAAUCUGGGGCGUAUUUUGGAUUAUCCAAAAAGAACAUCUCUCAGUUCUAGCCCGUCAGCUAACUUCGUCGGCAUUGAGAGGAGAUUGA
rnacentral:sRNA from 2 species